UUCAAAGCUUUCGUGUCUUUGUUCUUCGCUUCACAGAGUGUGUGUUUCUCUUGCUUUGACACCUGGGGUGCUGCUCAACAAUCGUGUCUAUGAUACCUCACUCCACCGAGAGGUAGAUAGACAGAGAACUUCAGUUUGAGAGAGAAAUAGCGCGAGAGAGAGAGUGAGAGAGAGAGAGAGCUCCAGGUUGCGUUCUAUCUAUCUAGGGAUAGAGAGAGAGUUUGAGACUGAAGAAGAGGGAGACGGGAAGAAGUUGAUGGUCGAUUCGAACAGAAAUUGAGUGAACUGAUCAUCCCAGUACUUUGCAUUCUGAGUGGGUCGAGUUUAUGACGAGAAGAUGGGGUUUUGGUGAUGCAGGGGUUUUUGGGUUGUUGGCUUAACCUUGAGGUGGAGGUGUGUUCAGAAAGGCAGGAGAGCAGUUGUUUCUGGUGUUUGAGAUUAGGUCGCAUUUGAGGUGUUGUCAAUUGUGAAGCUGCUGCUAUUAAGAUUUCAAUCAUCUUUCUUAGGUUGGUUGCUGGAGGAAGCACCAUUUUGAAGAACCUCCACUGAUAUGUGAUGACGAACAUCAACACCUCUUCUCAGCAGACCGAUCAAAUGUAGCUAGGUUAGCCUAUAAGUAGAACAAUAUAUUUUUGACAAGCUGUGUCAACAGCAGUUGUAUUGUAUAUUUGCACAUUAUCAGAACAUUUAUAUUAAUGGUAAUGUUAGUUGCAAACAUAAGUCUCUAGUCGUCCAAACUUGCA